rnacentral:misc_RNA from 1 species
AAGUCGUAACAAGGUUUCCGUAGGUGAACCUGCGGAAGGAUCAUUAGAAAGUUCCGGCGCUCCGGCGCCAACCUUCAAACCACUGUGAAAACACCCGUUGCUUCGGCGGCAUGGGGCCCUUGGGUCCCCGUCAGUCCGCAGAGGCUCCAAACCAAAACCUUUUUUCUGUAACGGUAGUCUGGUAACUAAAGAUUUAAUUCGUUAAAA